AGCAGCCGCGGUAAUUCCAGCUCCAAUAGCGUAUAUUAAAGUUGUUGCAGUUAAAAGCUCGUAGUUGAAUUUCGGGACUAAUAUGUCGGUCGUGCCUCGGUACGUACUGGUUUAUUGGUUUCUCCUUUCUGAAGAACCAUGAUGUCAUUUAUUUGGUGUCGUGGGGAAUCAGGACUGUUACUUUGAAAAAUUAGAGUGUUUAAAGCAGGCUCACGCUUGAAUACAUUAGCAUGGAAUAAUGAAAUAGGACGUUUGAUUCUAUUUUGUUGGUUUCUAGGAUCGACGUAAUGAUUAAUAGGGAUAGUUGGGGGCAUUAGUAUUCAAUUGUCAGAGGUGAAAUUCUUGGAUUUAUUGAAGACUAACUACUGCGAAAGCAUUUGCCAAGGAUGUUUUCAUUAAUCAAGAACGAAAGUUAGGGAUCGAAGACGAUCAGAUACCGUCGUAGUCUUAACCAUAAACUAUGCCGACUAGGGAUCGGAUGAUGUUAAUUUUUAAUGACUCAUUCGGCGCCUUACGGGUA
rnacentral:misc_RNA from 1 species